UUGCUGCUCGUGAAAUUUGUGGGCGAUACAUACACUCGAAUUAUUACAUAGUUACUAUCGUCUCCAAAAGUCAAUAGUGAUGCACGUAGAUUUUCUUUUCAUUUCUGAUGCGAGAAAAAUAUGCUUCAUUACAAAGAGUUGAGUUUGAUAUGAGGUGUUCUAUUUUUGGUUUCGGUUGGAGAAAAAUCAACGAGGUCUCGACAAUAUAUGAGGAUUUUUUCUUUUUGGGUUUCUGCUGGAGAAAAAAAAAGAGGUUCAACCAAUAUAUGAGAUUUUGUAUAAAAACAAAAAAAAAAGAAAAAGAAAAAGAAAGAUUGGGACUUGGUGAACUGUGCAAGACAAUAACGAGUAGUGACUUGCAUGAUAUUCAUUUCGGGUAUGGUGGUAGAUUUGUGGAUGGUAAUAAAUCUAAAUAUGAAGGGACAUAAAAAAAGGCAUUUGAAGGGAUAGAUAUUGAUAUUCUAGGAAUGCAUGAAUUAGGAGUUAUGUAUGACAAAUAUGGUGGGAGGAAAGGCACAAUGAACUUUUAUUAUAAAGUUCCAGGCUUAUCAUUAGAACUUGGUCUAAGAAGUAUUAACAAUGAAUGCCCUGACAUUUACGUAUGUGAUUUGGAGAAUCAAUAUAGAGGGAUAGACUUGCCUAUUGAAAUAUAUAUAGAAGAAAGUGAUUGUGAGCCCGUUCAGACACUAGAUAAAGAUGGUAAUGUUGUUUACAAUGAAACUGAGGAAGAAAUUAGGUACUCGCUAGAUGGGUUAAUUUCGAAGAUGAUUUAGAUGAUAGUGUUCCUGUGGGGGAUGGUCGAGGGCUGGAUUCUGUGUGUGAGGGUGUUGGGUAAAGGCUAAAUUGUGAGGGGCAAGGACAGGGUAGGAUGGGAUAGGAUCUGUGUGUGAGGGUGUUGGGGAAAGGUUGAAUAGUGAGGGGUAGGGGGAACAAGGACAUGGUGGUAAUGGUGAGGGUGGUGAAUAAGAGUUUCAGACUGAAAAUUUGAGGCCUGAAAAAGGCACACAAAAAAAAAAGAUAAAUAAACUAUGCUGAAAAUUAAUCCUCAUCAGAAUUUGAUGAUUCUUCUGAUGAGGAUUAUCAUCAGCCUGAUCAAGCCUCAAGUGAUAGUGAAACCCCAAGUCUUGUUUUAGAAGACCUUGAAGUGUCAAGUAAUGAUAACAUAUUCUUGAGUAAGAACCCAACUAAAAAAGAUUUAAUCCACAAACUGAGAAAGGUUAUGAAGACGAAAAUAAAAAAACCAGAAUUUCAGACUGAAAAUGCUGAAGAAAAUGAAAACUAGUUUAGUGAUGAUGCUAAAAGUGAUGAACUUGAAAGCUUGCCUAAUUCUGAUAAUGAAAAUUCACAACCAAACAUGAAUUUUUUAAAGAAACCACAAACAUAAAGACAUGUGAAUUGGUUGUUGGGAUGAAAUUUCAUAAUGCAAAAUGUUUUAAAGGGGUUUUGAGAGACUGGUGCGUCAGAAAAAGCUUUGAUGUUGAAUACAUAAAAAAUGAGAAAUCAAUGGUGAGUGCAAGAUGUAAAUUUGAUGGUUGUAAUUGGAGAAUUCAUGCAUCCCCAGUAAUGAAAGAUGAAUUUCGAAUCAAAAGCAUACAAGGGGCUCACACAUGUGCUAAAACAUAUGAUAACAAGCUUGCAAAAGCUUCAUGUUUUGCCAAAAGGAUGGAAUCUGCAAUUAGAGACCAUUCAAAUAUUCCAAUUAAACAGUUGAAAAGAUCAAUUUUGAGAAAAUACAAAGUUGAAGUGAGUCAACAAAAAGUUCAAAGGGCAAGCAUGGAGGCAUUUGAAAAAAUUAGAAGAAAAGAUUCUAUUCAAUAUGAAAAACUGUAGGAUUAUUGUGAGACAGUGAUGCAUUUUAACCCUGACAACAAGAUGAUUAUUAGAAAAGUUGAGGUUUCAGAUUCACCAAUCUUUGAUAAAAUGUAUUUAAGCUUUUCAGCACUUAAAAAUAAUUUUUUAAAUGGUUGCAGACGAAUCAUUGGUCUAGAUGGUUGUUUUCUGACAACUUGUCAUAGUGGACAGUUGCUUGUGGCUGUAGGGAGUGAUGAGAAUGACAAUAUGUUUCCUAUUGCCAUGGUUGUAGUUCAGAUAGAAAACAGGGAAAAUUGGACUUGAUUUUUGGGGGAAUUGGUUGUUGGAUGAAAUUUCAUAAUGCAAAAUGUUUUAAGGAGGUUUUGAGAGACUGGUGCGUCAAAAAAGGAUUUGAUAUUGAAUAUAUAAAAAAUGAGAAAUCAAGGGUGACUGCAAAAUGCAAAUUUGAGGGUUGUAAUUAGAGAAUUCAUGCCUCCCCGUAAUGAAAGAUGAAUUUCAAUUCAAAAGCAUACAAGGGGCUACACGUGUUAGAAUAUAUAAUAACAAGCUUGCAAAAGGUUCAUAUCUUGCCAAAAGGAUAAAAUCUGCAAUUAGAGACCAUUCAGAUAUUCCAAUUAAACAGCUGAAAAGAUCAAUUUUGAGAAAAUGCAAGGUUGAAGUGAGUCAACAAAAAGUUCAAAGGGCAAGAAGGGAAGCGCUUGAAAAAAUUAGAAGAAAAGAUUCUAUUCAAUAUGAAAAACUGUGUUUGUGAGACAGUGAUGCAUUUUACCCCUGGCAACGAGAUGAUUAUUAGAAACGUUGAGGGUUCAGAUUCACCAAUCCUUGAUAAAAUGUAUGUAAGUUUUUCAGCACUUCAAAAUAAUUUUUUUAAUGGUUGCAGACCAAUCAUUGGUCUAGAUGGUUGUUUUCUGAAAAACUGUUAUAGUGGACAGUUGCUUGUGGCUGUAUGAGAAUGACAAUAUAUUUCCUAUUGCCAAGACUAUAGUUCAGAUAGAAAAUAGGAAAAAUUGAACUUGGUUUUUGGGGAAAUUGCUAGAUGAUAUAGGUGGGUGGGUAGGCAAAAAGGACUCAUUGAGGCCUUAAAAGAUCUUGUGCCCAAUUCUAAAUAUAGAUUUUGCGUUAUGCACAUGCAUGAAAACUUCAAAAUAAAACUUAAAUCCCAAGAACUGAAACAAUUCUUCUAGAAAGCUGCAUCAACAGCAAACAAAAGGGAUUUUGAAGAAUUCAUACAAAAAAUUGAAGAUUUUAGCCCCAAAAAAAAACUUGAAGUUGAGACAGCCUUUGAAUGGCUGAGAAAAAUCAAUCCAGAACAUUGGAUUAGGGUUUUUUUCCCUUUGCAUAGUAAAUGUGAUAUAUUGGUGAACAAUCUUUGUGAAAACUUUAAUAAUUACAUACUUGAUGCUAGAGAUAAGCCAAUAAACACAUUGUUUGAAUGGAUUAUAUGUAAAUUGAUGUCAAGAUUGCAGCAAAAAAGGGAUGGGAUGGAGAAGUUGAGGGAGACAUUUGCCCCAAAUGUUCUAAAAGCAAUCAAGAAGCAACAGUUAAUGGCUAGGAAUUGUUUUACGUUAUGGUGUAGGAUGGUUGAGUAUGAAGUAGAUCAUUUCCUAGAUAAGUAUGUGGUAGAUGUUUUAAAAAGAACAUGUAUGUGUGGCAUGUUUUAGUUGAAUGCAUACCCCUGCUGCCAUGCAUGUGCAAUAAUAUCUACCAAAAGGGUUCUAAUUGAUGAGUAUGAUGAUGUUUGUUACAAAAAAUCAACAUACUUAAAGGUUUAUGGGGAGAUGAUUCAUAUUGUUCUCGGGGUAAAAAGAUUAUAUUCAAACUACUUAUGAAUCUCUAAAACCACCAAAAGUUAAAACGAAAAAGGGUAGACCAAAAAGACUUAGGAGGAGGGGUCCGGAUGAAGUGCAAUCCACUUCUACAAGAAAAUGUCUAGCAUAUACUUGCACGAACUGCUUGGAGAGGGGGCACAACAAGGAAACUUGCAAGAAUCCACCACAUCCAAAGUCAAAAUUUUACAAGGGUAUAAGUCAUGAGGAAAUACCUAUUGAAGGCUCCCAAAUUCCCCCGCAAGCCAGGAGCAUAAAUUGCAGUCUAAGGCUACAAGAGCAACCAAGAAGCAAAAAACAAGAGCAGGUGCAAAGAUACUGUAAACAAGCAUUCCUCCAUCUACUGUAAGCAUUAUUGAUCAUCUGCAGCUACACCCAACAAACACUCCUCCAUCUACUAUAAGCAUUAAUGAACAAGCAACUGUUGAGUUAUCUGCAACAUCCCCCACAAGCACUCAUCCAUCUACCCAAAGAAUUGGCUAUUCAGGACGUAGAAAUGCUGCUGUGAUAGGAGACACUGUUGGAACAAGCUUAAGAGGAUCUAUAAAUACAAAUAAAAAUAAAAGGCUAUCAAUUUUCGAAAUUCUGAAAAGAAUUAAGGAGAGGUCCAAGAAAAGGCCAUAGAAGCUAUGAAUAACGGAGUUGUAAUUUUGUCUUAACCAUUUUAAUGGGGUUGGAUAUACAUUUUGGCUACUUUAAAUGGAGCUAUUUGUUUAAAUUAUUCAGUAUUUUUGGCAGAGAAUGUUUGGCAGUACUUUUCGAGCUAGUAAUGUUUUGUAAUGCGGUUGGAUGUACUUCUAGCUUAGGCUUAUAUUUGAGAAAUUUGGCAGUGUAAAUUGACUUACAUUCUGGCAGUGUGUAAAUUGACUUA